UACGUAGGGUGCAAGCGUUAAUCGGAAUUACUGGGCGUAAAGCGUGCGCAGGCGGUUCGGAAAGAAAGAUGUGAAAUCCCAGGGCUUAACCUUGGAACUGCAUUUUUAACUACCGGGCUAGAGUAUGUCAGAGGGGGGUAGAAUUCCACGUGUAGCAGUGAAAUGCGUAGAGAUGUGGAGGAAUACCGAUGGCGAAGGCAGCCCCCUGGGAUAAUACUGACGCUCAUGCACGAAAGCGUGGGGAGCAAACAGGAUUAGAUACCCUGGUAGUCCACGCCCUAAACGAUGUCAACUAGCUGUUGGGGUUUAUUAACCUUAGUAGCGCAGCUAACGCGUGAAGUUGACCGCCUGGGGAGUACGGUCGCAAGAUUAAAACUCAAAG
rnacentral:rRNA from 1 species